GACGAACGCUGGCGGCGUGCUUAACACAUGCAAGUCGAACGAUGAACUUGGAGCUUGCUCUGGGGGAUUAGUGGCGAACGGGUGAGUAACACGUGAGUAACCUGCCCUGGACUCUGGGAUAACUUCGAGAAAUCGGAGCUAAUACCGGAUAGGACCUUGCACCGCAUGGUGUGGGGUGGAAAGUUUUUCGGUAUGGGAUGGACUCGCGGCCUAUCAGCUUGUUGGUGAGGUAAUGGCUCACCAAGGCGUCGACGGGUAGCCGGCCUGGGAGGGUGACCGGCCACACUGGGACUGAGACACGGCCCAGACUCCUACGGGAGGCAGCAGUGGGGAAUAUUGCACAAUGGGCGCAAGCCUGAUGCAGCAACGCCACGUGCGGGAUGACGGCCUUCGGGUUGUAAACCGCUUUUAGUAGGGAAGAAGCCUUCGGGUGACGGUACCUGCAGAAAAAGGACCGGCUAACUACGUGCCAGCCGCCGCAGUAAAAC
rnacentral:rRNA from 1 species